AGACGAACCGUCCAAACGUUAUUCGGAAUUACUGGGCUUAAAGGGUGCGUCGGCGGCCGGGCAAGUCGGGUGUGAAAUCCCUCGGCUCAACCGAGGAACUGCGCCCGAUACUGUUCGGCUAGAGGGAGACAGAGGUGAGCGGAACUUGCGGUGGAGCGGUGAAAUGCGUUGAUAUCGCAAGGAACACCCGUGGCGAAAGCGGCUCACUGGGUCUCUUCUGACGCUGAGGCACGAAAGCUAGGGGAGCGAACGGGAUUAGAAACCCCAGUAGUCC
rnacentral:rRNA from 1 species